GACCUGACUGUCAGGCUCAGACUGAGUUUCUGCAGCUCUGUCACCUCUUCCACUAAAGGGAUUCCAGACACUGAAGAGCUGGCAGACAUGACAUUGACAGCUAUAGUUCAGACACUAGAGCAACCAACCCGUCUUUUGAAAAGCUCAGGGAGACUGAGUGCAAAGAGAAGCGAGAAUAAAGAAUAAGCUAACUGGAAGGAAGACCGAGCCUGUGGGACCCCAGGCUUAGCAUCCUGUUCUCGUGGAGGAGGAUGCUGGACCUCAUCUCAAGAAUUUGCCCUGUCAUUUGGAAACUGGAAUUAAAUCAGGCUUGAUCCAGGUCUGAAUUGUAUGUUGUUCUUACAGUUAUAAUAUCUGAGACCAUGCACUCCCUACAUCAUAUUUAAGGGGAAAAGAAAACCUUGUUUCUCUUAGAUUUAGAUAAACUACUACAAUAUAAGGAUAUAUCCAGAUUGAACUCUGGCAGGAUAUAGCUUUGUAGCAUCCAAGACUCAUAGAGGCUGCCAGAACCCACAGAAAGUACCAACUUCUGUUUUUCUUAUAUAUGCAUACCUUUCAUUAGUUUAAUUCAUAAAUGAGGUAAGGAACGUUUAAAAAAAUACUCUACUAAAACAGAGAGGUUGCAUGUAAAAUACAACAAUAUGCCAUAAGAAAAAUGAUAUGGUUAUGUUUAAGACUUUGUCAGCAUCUUGUUAUGCUUGAUUUACUCUGUGAUGCAGCUCACUAGUUAAGGAAGGCAAUAAGAAUAGAGGAGGCAUGAACACACAAGAACUUGGGAAGAGAGGCCUAUUAAGGAGGUAAAGCCACUGAGAGAAACCGGAAACCACAGGGAGAAACCGGCAUCCAGUUUUUGGAAAUCAGACAAGCAAAUAGGAAACAUCAGAAUGCAGAGACGCUCACCAGCAGAGCUCUGAGGAAGCGGGCAAUGGAGCAACAGCUGAGCUGUGACUGAUGAACUAUGGGAAUCUCCGAACAGCCAAACAUGAGAGCUGAGCAGCGCAGGGCACUCAGUCGUGGGGAAAGUCACAGUUUAGUGGGUGGCACCUCCAGGAGCUGUACCAGAAUGUGAGCUGUGAAAAACCAAGCAGAAGUGUUUCCAUCUCAAUGGCACUAUGAGCUGGAGAAGUCAUAGGAAACCAAAGCACUCAAGAGGAGACACAGCUAUCAAGAACUCCUGUCCACCGGGCAUUGGUGGAAGGAGAUGAAGCCAUUUUUACCAACCUGAACCUUUUUUCCGUGGGGCACUAUACAGCUUAACCUAUGAACUCUGUCGAGCCGUUGAGGGCUCCUAA
rnacentral:lncRNA from 1 species